CUCCAAAAAGGCGAAGAACGAACAAUCAGCGCUCCAACUUCA
rnacentral:sRNA from 1 species